AGAGUUUGAUCAUGGCUCAGNAUNNNCNCAUGGCCGGCCCUGNCAUAGCNCAUNUCNNUCACAACUGAGCAANCCAUUCUUCGNACNGNCGAACNNUGNNCCACGGUUGANUAACNCNUUGGUGACCUGCCNNNNNGAGGGGGAUAAUCCUGCGAAAGCGGGACUAAUACCGCAUAUGCUCUAGGAGGUUAGAGGCUCCUAGUGUAAAGCUCCGGCGCUUUGGGAUGGGCCUGCGGCCUAUCAGCUAGUUGGUGAGGUAAUGGCUCACCAAGGCUAAGACGGGUAGGGGGCGUGAGAGCGUGGCCCCCCACAAUGGAACUGAGACACGGUCCAUACUCCUACGGGAGGCAGCAGUGAGGAAUAUUGCGCAAUGGGGGAAACCCUGACGCAGCAACGCCGCGUGGGUGAUGAAGGCCUUCGGGUCGUAAAACCCUUUUCUGGGAGAAGAGAGAGGACGGUAUCCCAGGAAUAAGUCCCGGCUAACUACGUGCCAGCAGCCGCGGUAAAACGUAGGGGGCAAGCGUUAUCCGGAUUUACUGGGCGUAAAGCGCGUGUAGGCGGCUUGGUAGGUUGGACGUGAAAGCUCUCGGCUCAACUGGGAGAGGCCGUUCAAUACCGCCAGGCUUGAGGGCGGAAGAGGGGAGUGGAAUUCCCGGUGUAGUGGUGGAAUGCGUAGAUAUCGGGAGGAACACCUGUGGCGAAGGCGACUCCCUGGUCCGUGCCUGACGCUCAGACGCGAAAGCGUGGGGAGCGAACGGGAUUAGAUACCCCGGUAGUCCACGCUGUAAACGAUGGAUGCUAGGUGUGGGUGGUAUUGACCCCAUCCGUGCCGUAGCUAACGCGUUAAGCAUCCCGCCUGGGGACUACGGCCGCAAGGUUAAAACUCAAAGGAAUUGACGGGGGCCCGCACAAGCAGCGGAGCGUGUGGUUUAAUUCGAUGCUACGCGAAGAACCUUACCUGGGUUUGACAUGCACGUAGUAGUGAAGCGAAAGUGGAACGACCCUUCGGGGAGCGUGCACAGGUGCUGCAUGGCUGUCGUCAGCUCGUGUCGUGAGAUGUUGGGUUAAGUCCCGCAACGAGCGCAACCCUCGCUGUUAGUUACAUGUGUCUAACGGGACUGCCGGUAUUAAACCGGAGGAAGGUGGGGAUGACGUCAAGUCAGCAUGGCCUUUAUAUCCAGGGCUACACACACGCUACAAUGGUCGGUACAACGGUGUNANCAUACCGCGAGGUGGAGNUAAUCCUCAAACNCNGNCNUCAGNUCAGAUNNCAGUAUNCANNUNGNCUNCNUGAAGNCNGAUGUGANNANUAUCCGCNGAUNUNCACUANNGNGNUGAAUCNGUUCUCCNGNGCUUUGUACAGCACCGCCCGUA
rnacentral:rRNA from 1 species